GAGCACCAUACGUUUCCUCAAACGAUGUCGCAUUUGGCAAACUCAUUCCUCCCCAAAUACACGAAAAUCUCUCCUGCUCUUGCUGGUCAGUGAAUUGAGGAGAUCUAUUUAGCUCCGAAAAAUCAAACCUAAAAUUCUCCCAUAACCUUCUUCAAGAUGAAGAUUCUCUUCCCGUCAACUCCUAUCGCAAAUGCACCUCUAAUGAUUCACGACCGAUCACGAAAUUAGUUUCAAUCUUUCAGAAGACGAAAUGGGGCUUUUAGGUUCUGUUUUUCUUAUAUUGCACACAAAGGCAUGGCUAAGGGAAAGCUUAUUGCUGUCUGUCAGUCAGAUGGAAAGUUUACAUCUAAGUGAUGAUUCCUUGUCAUAUACGGGCGGUGAUGCUCAUGGCCUCGUGCAAUUAGCAUAAACACUGAAAGCAAUUUUGGUGAGCUAAAAACAGAAGUAGCAGGGAUGUGGAAGUAUGAUCCUGAUUCCUUAACCAUUAAAAUUUUCCUACCACACAACAUGAAGACGCUUAUCACGAUUUCUAAUCAUGGACCUGCAACAACAAUUGCUGGAUUUUCAUGGAAGCUCUGCAACCCUGGAUGUUUAUGACUUAACUAACGAGAAUCUACCAAAUUAUGUAUCGUUCUGACUAGAUCCCUCCUCCCAGAUCGCCUCCCUAAGAUAAUUUCAGCAGGAAAAAGAAAAAAAAAACUGUAAAAUUACCAAAACUUGUACGAAUUCCAGAUAUUCUUUUAGUUAACCAAUCAUACAAUGUGCAUCUAACUUUCGUAGAACGAUUGCGGACUUUUCUUAUUUUGGUUGGUUUGGUGGUUAAGGUUGCUCAGCCUCAUUUUAGUUAUUUUCAAUUUCUUAGAUCGAAAGCCAACAUUUCAACUGAUAUUCACGACCCACUCUCUCUUUCCAAGUUUUGAAAACCAAGACCUCAAUCUCUUUUGCUGAAAUAAACCAAUACUUCCUGCUUUCAAUAGAUAUCUGUUGCAUUGCUACAUCUGCCUGAAAGAGAAAGUAGUAGAAUACAAAUUUCUUCUUCCAGAAGCAACCAUACUUGAUCGACUUUCAUCUUUAAUAUAUACGAUUAGAAAUCCGCAACAUUGUAACCUGAACCCGUUCAUUCAAAGAUUCUCAUGUACAUGCUGUCUAUGGCAUCAUUCAAUUCCUUUUUUUUUUUUUUGGGCCAGAAGCAUCAUUCAAAUCUCUCUAAACAAAAGUAAUUUUUUAAUUUUUUGUUAAAGCAUCCAUAUCAAUGGAGAAUAUGAGAGUACUACCACAUGAAGUGUAGUACAUAUUCGUCCUACGAGAAAUACUCACAAACUUGUAUUUUCAGCUGACACUCAAAGUUGCAAGUACAGAAUCUGUUUAGUACAUGUUGUACCGUAAUUGUGUUGGUUCUGUAGCAUAAAUAGCUCAGACGACAGCACAAACCCAAACCAAGUUCCUGGGUUUGCUGAAAAGUGCAUUAUGGCUUAUGAGUUUGUCAAGAAGUAUAGGAACCUGAGGCCUGAGGUCGUUGUUCAAGUGCCAGGUUUCUUUUGGGCUUGACAGAUACAUACACCGAGACAACGUGAGGUUCUCCACCAGUAGUGUGCAAGAAAUCAAAUGCUGGCAACCUUAACUAAAAAAAAUAGAUUCAGAUUCAUGACAGCCACGGAAGCUAAGAUAAAUGUGGUGACUUUUGGCCCUACGGCCACAGCUCUUUUUCUCCCUUUUUGUACAUUCUCUUUUGUUUUGUUGAAGAUAAACUAUUCUUUCAAUCCAAGUGAAGCUACUUUAUAAAUCCGUUGACAUGGCAUGAGAUCACUGGCAGUGGUAUAGAUAUGAAUGUGAGUGCAUUGUUUUGUGAUGCGAGUAAAUGACCAUGGAACUAGCAUCAGCAUAUUUUUCCUAUAUAGUAUUUCCUCUUGCUUCAUAUGCUGUGGACUAAUCAUAUCAUUAUACUUGAGAGAUGAAAUUUCUCUCGAUAUUGUAGAUUUUAAGUUGAUAAUAGCAGGCUAUUCUUAAUUCCAUGUAGAAAACAAUGACCUGACAACCAGUUUUUUUCACUGUUCUUUCAAUUAGCUAAGCACUUAUUCUCUGUUGAUUCCUGUUUCACGUGUAGUUAACAUAAUGGAAAUGGAAUAAAACGAGCAUUAACAAUCACUAGCAUAAUUCGUAAUAGUUAUUGACAGAAUCAGGUGAGCAG